GUUAGUACACUUAUAUUACAGUUUCUUCAUUUUAUAUUAGUUCAUGUAAUUUUUUCAAAAUCGAAUAUGCGGAAAGGAGCUAUUUGGAAUGAAGAUUUACAAGAAGAAGUAAUUCUAUCUAAUUGAAUUAGUGAUAAAAUUGUUUGUCAGCUUCCAGGUACCAAAGCAUUGACUGCACUAAAAUGCAGAGAAGAAUUGGCUUAAGUUUAUACAAAUAAAAACUAAAUUCUCUUCAGAGUAUUUUCGAAAAGUUAUAUGGUCUCUAUGGAUAUGAAGGGCGAAAGUGGAAAAAUAUGUUUUAAGAACACUAAUCUAUAUGGCGUUGAAAAAGAUGUGCCUUCAUAAGAUCUUCUUCUAUUGUAUUCAAUGGACCAAAAGAACCCUC